GACAGCAUGCCAGAGUGGUUAAUGGGUAUGACUAGAAAUCAUAUGGGCUCCGCCCGCGCAGGUUCAAAUCCUGCUGCUGUCG
rnacentral:tRNA from 1 species